CGAAAAGUAGUUUAUUCAAAACAAAAGCUUUGGGAGCUUUAAAAUUAGGACACUAACUUUUCGA
rnacentral:tRNA from 1 species